AUGUUUGUUAAUGAGUUACUCGAAGGGCACGUCAAAAACUGUCGGGUAGCAUUUAGGAUGGAGCCGCAUAUCUUCAAAUCUUUGGCUAAUUAUCUUCGAAGGGAGAAGUUGGUGAAAGAUACCAGAAUUAAAGUCGAAGAGAAACUAGCAUCAUUUAUGUGGAUGUUAUCCCAUAAUUCUUCAUUUGAAGACCUUCAAGUUCGGUUUGGUCACAGUGGGGAUACUUUUCAUUGGCAACUGAAGAAUUUCUUUGACAUCAUCCCUAUUCUCUCCAAGCAUUUUUUGAAGCCUCCAAAUCCCAGUCAAGUGCAUCCAAAGAUUCAAUCAGACAUGAGAUUCUUUCCUUAUUUUCAGAACUGCAUUGGGGCAAUUGAUGGGACACAUGUUCCCAUAACAAUUUUAGGAGAAAUAGCCGCACCAUUCAGAAAUAGGAAAGGGACCCUAAGCCAUAAUGUUAUGGUCGUGUGCGACUUCGACCUGAACUUCACCUUCAUUUCUUGUGGCUGGGAGGGAUCUGCUACUGAUGCUAAAGUUCUCCGGUCAGCACUUAACAGUGGGUUUCAUGUACCUCCGGGCAAGUUUUAUCUGGUUGAUGGUGGUUAUGCCAACACACCUUACUUCUUGGCACCGUAUCGUGGUGUUCGGUACCAUCUGAAGGAGUUUGCACGUGGUCGUCAUCGACCCCAAAAUCACAGGGAGCUAUUUAAUCUCCGGCACGCCGUGUUAUGA
rnacentral:rRNA from 1 species